rnacentral:rRNA from 1 species
GACGAACGCUGGCGGCGUGCUUAACACAUGCAAGUCGAACGGAAAGGCCCUGCUUUUGUGGGGUGCUCGAGUGGCGAACGGGUGAGUAACACGUGAGUAGCCUGCCCUUGACUUUGGGAUAACUUCAGGAAACUGGGGCUAAUACCGGAUAGGAGCUCCUGCUGCAUGGUGGGGGUUGGAAAGUUUCGGCGGUUGGGGAUGGACUCGCGGCUUAUCAGCUUGUUGAUGGGGUAGUGGCUUACCAAGGCUUUGACGGGUAGCCGGCCUGAGAGGGUGACCGGCCACAUUGGGACUGAGAUACGGCCCAGACUCCUACGGGAGGCAGCAGUGGGGAAUAUUGCACAAUGGGCGGAAGCCUGAUGCAGCAACGCCGCGUGCGGGAUGACGGCCUUCGGGUUGUAAACCGCUUUCGCCUGUGACGAAGCGUGAGUGACGGUAAUGGGUAAAGAAGCACCGGCUAACUACGUG